CAUUGUGAAUGACGAGAAUGUGAAAUAUACAGUUAUCCCUGUCUGAUUAAGCGGUGCUGAUCUUUCUCAAUCUGACACUUCA